AGAGUUUGAUCCUGGCUCAGAACGAACGCUGGCGGCGUGCUUAACACAUGCAAGUCGAACGGAAUUAGGGGCUUGCUCCUAAUUUAGUGGCGCACGGGUGAGUAACGCGUGGAUAACCUACCCUGGUAUCUGGGAUAACAUCUCGAAAGGGGUGCUAAUACCGGAUAAGCCCACGGGAACUUUGGUUCUUGCGGGAAAAGGUGGCCUCUAUUUAUAAGCUACUGUAUCAGGAUGGGUCCGCGUACCAUUAGCUAGUUGGUAGUGUAAUGGACUACCAAGGCUACGAUGGUUAGCUGGUCUGAGAGGAUGAUCAGCCACACUGGAACUGAGACACGGUCCAGACUCCUACGGGAGGCAGCAGUGGGGAAUUUUGCGCAAUGGG
rnacentral:rRNA from 1 species